AUUGCCCGCUGGCGGCAGGCCUAACACAUGCAAGUCGAACGAGUGGCGGACGGGUGAGUAAUGUCUGGGAAACUGCCUGAUGGAGGGGGAUAACUACUGGAAACGGUAGCGAAUACCGCAUACCAUCAGAUGUGCCCAGAUGGGAUUAGCUUGUUGGUGGGGUAACGGCUCACCAAGGCGACGAACACUAGCUGGUCUGAGAGGAUGACGAGCCACACUGGAACGGAGACACGGUCCAGACGCCGACGUGAGGAAGCAGUGGGGAAUAUUGCACAAUGGGCGCAAGCCUGAUGCAGCCAUGCAGCGUGGAUGAAGAAGGCCUUCGGGUUGUAAAGUACUUUCAGCGGGGAGGCGUUACCCGCAGAAGUAGCACCGGCUAACUCCGUGCCAGCAGCCGCGGUCCUAC
rnacentral:rRNA from 1 species